CCAGCCCUCCCGGUCGAGGUGUGGCCGGCCGGCGCCCGCGCUCAGCCUGCACGGCCUACCCGGCGCGGAGGCCAGGCGAGGGGAGGAGGCGCCGGGACUCGAGGAGCAACGCAGAGGCUGAGACAGGGUCUUGCUCGCUCGGUCUGGAGGGCAGUGACGAAGUCAUAGCUCACCGUAACCUUGAAUUCCUGGGCUCAAGUAAUCUUCUUGCCUUAGCCUCUCAAAGUGCUGGGAUUACAGGUGAAACUACAUCAACACCAUAAUGAAAGAUCUUCCCUCUUGCACUACAAUGAUAUGAAACUACUGAAGUCUAAUCUGCUCUGGAGGCUCACUUUAUGAGAUGGAGUCUCCCUGUUGCCCUGGCUCAUCUCAAACUCC